UGCCACCGUGGCCAGGGCUUCCUGGUGCUCCUGCUGCUCUGGCAACGUGUGUCUCACCUCGUGGCAGUGGUUAGUAGUAUUGUCCCAUGUCACCCAGGAGGAAUCCGAGGCUCCUCUGGGGAUAACGUGCGCAGGGUGAGUGAAGAAGCCAGGACUGGACUCGGUGUCUGCUUCUCCCUGGAGUCCGGAUCGAACCCCACCCCCCACCCCAGGGGAUCAGCCUUAUGAGCAACCAGAUGCCGUGAGAGUCAACCAACAGGAGAGCCCUGCCUACCUCCCUCACCUGCUCCUUCUGACCUUCCUCUUCCUCUGAUGGCUUCUACUGGCCAAGAGGAGGUCUCCAAGACCCUCUCCCCUCCAAAUGAAUUGGCUGGAACCUUGUGAAAAGACCAGAGGACAGAAUUGAUGUGGACUUAGGAAGCACAUUCAAAAAGGCUGUGUUGGUGGCUUGGAGAAAAAGAAAACAAGUCAAACAACAUGGAGGGCAGAGCGGGCUGCGUGAGGGAUGAAGGAUUCAGACAUGGCCCUGAGAGUUAACAGACAACCUUAGGGGAUCAAACUUGGGGCCUUGCGCUGCGAGGCAGGCAGCGGAACCACUGAGCUAAAUCCCCAGCCUCCUGACUUCUUUCUUGACUCAGAAAAAAAAUACAUGGAUGGGGAUGAAAAACCAGUUUCCUUCUGACCAUAGACAUCUGGUCAGCUGUGGACCUGAGGAGCAACUCAUUGAAGUGCAGGAUGGUCCAGGAUAUAGUCACACACACAGUGCACACUGUGUCAGAUGCCUGCCCAGUCCGAGGGACACAAUGGCAAAACAACAUGUAGCUCCUGCCUUGCAGGAGCAAAUAAGAUACGGUGUGACAAAUGUUCCCAGAGGCAAAAGAACAGGAAGCUAGAAACAUAUAGGACAGGACAGCAACUGGUUCAGUCUUAUGGGUAUUAGAGGUUUCUUGGGGAAAGCAAUAUUUUAAGUGAGAAUUAAAGGUUAACCGCAAGCACAGGGCCUUACUGUAAAAAUAGUUUUCCAAAAAUUUACUCUUUUUAUAUAUUCUCCAGUAAAAAACAAUCUAUAACUCCAAAUGUGUGCUUUAAAAUCAUAUAAUCUGGGCCUAGUGAUACAUGCCUGUUGUAUCAGUUACUCAGAAAGCUGAACCCAAAGGAUCACUUGAGUCUAUGAGUUCAAGAUCAGUCUGAGCGACAAAGCAAAACCACAUGUCAAAACAAAAAAGAUGAAUUUCCUAUAUUCUCUACCUUGGUUAAAAUAUACACAAUAAAUAAAUAAUAAAAUAAUAUAAGUAAAUGGCUGGGAGGUAGAUCUAGAACAAAUUCUAUCUUUGAAGGCAAAGAGGGGGGACACAAUAUUGCAAACUUAUAUUUGUUUCUUUUAUACUUGUCCCAGUGUUUAUUUCCAGGAUGGCCUCCUUACCAUUUUGGCACCGCACACUGCCCUCAUCACAAGGACUGUUGUCACCAAAGUGAUGGCUACUGUUGUAUCUCAUCAACACUGAGCUGAUGUUAUGUGGAUGGUUCCUUUGCCCAGUCCCCACCAAUAAUACAGAAUUUUCCAUUGUAUCCAUUUGGCGAUGUCAGUGAGGAAGAGCUGAUUUGAGUAAAACAUCUAAGCUCAAAUCAUUUUCUGCAAUCUCUAUCUGGCUUGAAAUUUCAUGUCAGUAUCAGUUUUUAAAAUUUCUUUUCCAUUUUCCUUAUUUAGACUUUGCAGAACAAAGGAUACUUUAUUCUCAAUCUUCCUGGCCCUAAAUAUGAAUCUGAGAAUGCUUGUUUUACGAUGCCUUUGAUUUCUUUCUUAGUCUUUCAAAACAACAAU